rnacentral:lncRNA from 1 species
UAAAACAUUUUGAAAGCACUGGGUGAAGGUAACUAUUAGUCAUGACACAGAUUUCCUGAAGGACCAUUAUGUUACUUCUGAUCCCCCGCUCAGGUACAACGUGUUACAAAGUUAAUGUCAGAAUGUUAUCUGCCCAGGACUCCAGUGGGUUUGCAAGGUUCAGGGUGCCUUCCCCACAGUUUAACUGCUCCUGCCAGGGAAGGGAUGAAUAGAACCGACUGUAUUUUAUUUUUCUCUAAGCUGUAGUGUGUUUUCCGCACGUCGGGGGACCGGAAACGAGAAUAACAGGUAUGAAUCAUAUCAUUAACCCCAGGGAGCAAAGUCUGAGCGAGUCUGCUCUCCUGGAAGGCUGGUUUUUCUUUUUUUUCAGUCUGAUUGUUUAUUUUGUGAGAUUUUUACUUUUUAAAAAGAUGCUCUGUUUACGCUAUAGCCGCCAAUGGAAAUAAAAACGAAUUAUCCUUGGAA